rnacentral:tRNA from 1 species
GCGCCAGUAGCUCAGCGGAGAGAGCGUUGGUCUACGAAACCAAAGGCCGCAGGUUCGAAUCCUGCCUGGCGCACCA